rnacentral:rRNA from 1 species
CGGAAAGGCUCCUUCGGGGGUACUCGAGCGGCGAACGGGUGAGUAACACGUGAGUAAUCUGCCCUUGGCUUCGGGAUAGCCACCGGAAACGGUGAUUAAUACCGGAUACGACACAUCACUGCAUGGUGCGUGUGUGGAAAGUUUUUUCGGCCAGGGAUGUGCUCGCGGCCUAUCAGCUUGUUGGUGGGGUAAUGGCCUACCAAGGCUUCGACGGGUAGCCGGCCUGAGAGGGUGACCGGCCACACUGGGACUGAGACACGGCCCAGACUCCUACGGGAGGCAGCAGUGGGGAAUAUUGGACAAUGGGCGGAAGCCUGAUCCAGCAACGCCGCGUGAGGGAUGACGGCCUUCGGGUUGUAAACCUCUUUCAGCACAGACGAAGCGCAAGUGACGGUAUGUGCAGAAGAAGGACCGGCCAACUACGUGCCAGCAGCCGCGGUAAUACGUAGGGUCCGAGCGUUGUCCGGAAUUAUUGGGCGUAAAGGGCUCGUAGGCGGUUUGUCGCGUCGGGAGUGAAAACACCGGGCUUAACUCGGUGCUUGCUUUCGAUACGGGCAGACUAGAGGCAUUCAGGGGAGAACGGAAUUCCUGGUGUAGCGGUGAAAUGCGCAGAUAUCAGGAGGAACACCGGUGGCGAAGGCGGUUCUCUGGGAAUGUCCUGACGCUGAGGAGC